rnacentral:misc_RNA from 1 species
ACACCCUGGUGAUCAUACAAGCACACAUAAUGCGCCAGCCAACAUGCUCGUGCGGCAGUGACACCCUCCCAAGGGCGGCGCCGGUGUCGCCACGCUGGCACGGGAGAUAAAUAUGCCGAUCCGUACAACCGGCGUCGUCACCAAGACGGUCGCCAUCCGCUCAAUAAUGUUCACGGACCCGCCGGACAAGGCUGUGCCGCUGCCCAACGGCACGGGCGAGGUGAGCGCUGUGGGGUCGGAGAGCACACGCUUUCCUGGUGGGCGGCCGCGUCGCGCUCAUCCUCUUCUCUAACCCCCUCGAGGGGCGACCAAGGCGAGGGGAUCUGGUCUCCCGUCAUGUCUCGGCAACAGCCACUACGGUGUUGCGGCGGAGUGCAUGCUCACCAGCGAGGCGGACACGGUGCGCCUUCCUGGCUACGUGACGUGCGAGGUGACGGCUGCCGGCGCUUCCCGGCACCGGCGUGGCUGCACGGCUUGCUGUGAACAGCAAUGCGAAAGGCCUUGUCCCAGACAGCGUCGGCCUUGUCGAGGGCGCCGGUGGCGUGAAGUGCCUGGCCGCGCUACCGGCGCACGCCGCGGGCUGCCGCGUGAUGGCGCUGUCGUCCAGCGAAGCGAACGUGAAGCAGCGGCUGCAUUGCGGGGUUGGUGGGCUUGCGCGACUGGGUGUACUGACGGGAGCAGCCGCAAGUGGGUCAAGGCGGUGCACGCGCUAACACCAGGCGGCCGCGCAGUGUGAACGCUCCAGGGAAGGAGGCGUGGGCGUGUCCUCUAUGAACCAGUUGCUGGUGCGUUGUCCGCCGUCGUGGCUACAUGGCCGUCAAUGGCAACUUCGGACUAAAAGGAACGCGGGAAGGCUUUCACCUUGAUCAGGUGCUCAUGGAACGAAUGCUAAUCACCGGCAUCCGGGUGGGACAGCGGCGCCACUUCGAAGACAUGCUUGAACUCAUGGCGCUGCACAAGGCGCUCCCAGUCCUCGACGCGGGCCACUUCAAGCUGACGGAGCUGCCUGUCGUGUGCCGCCACCUGCAGACCUAGAGGCACUUUUGGUAAGGUGGGCAUCACUGUGGAUGGGCGUGGCGUGGCGAGAGGGUAGCAUGCUGAAAGAGCCGUGUGCUCUCCGUUGCUGUUCGAGCGUCUACACCUCCCCCCCCUCCCCUCUCCCUUGCUUCCGCCUGGCCCAACUCCCUGCGCGUGCAUUCCUAUUUCCGCAUACCUCGCUUCGCUCCUCUCCAUCCCCCGCCCUCUCUCCUGUGGUGCCGCUGGCGCGCUUGCCAUGGGCACUGUUCGGCAAGAGGACCUGCCGCAUCCACCUCCUCUACCGCGAGCACGCCGUAACAGAGGACAGCAACGGGCAAGACGGGCUGCGCCUUCGCACAGAUGCGCACGCCGAACUCAGCGCGCAUUGGCCUGGGCGGGGGAAAGGAAAAUGCGCAUCCGUGACGAGGGGUCGUUGGCCGUUCUAUGUGGCUCUUUCAGCUGCGGCUGCGCGCGUGUGCAUGCACGUGUAUCCAUCUUAUUCUCUGUCGUCGUGACUUUGUGGUUCGUGAUGGCGUGGCCGCCGGUCUUCGCCAUUACCCUCACCCCCUGCCUCCCCACCCCACCCUGCUCUGCUCUCCUCCCUUGUGCGCACCGACAAGACGCAAAACAACAGAAUCCCAAUAAGCAUGGAACAGCGAACACAGGAAGAAAGGAGGAGACGAUCGCACUGUCCUCGAUACAUGUGCGUGACAUCGGUGCUCGGGGGCGAGAUGACGUGCAUUGUCUUGCCCUCCUCUCGAAUU